rnacentral:rRNA from 1 species
AGAGUUCGAUCCUGGCUCAGGAUGAACGCUGGCGGCGUGCCUAACACAUGCAAGUCGAACGAGAUGCUUAUCGGAAAGCUUCGGCCGGAAGAUAAGUUAUCUAGUGGCGGACGGGUGAGUAACACGUGGGUAACCUGCCUUAUGGAGGGGGAUAACAGAGAGAAAUCACUGCUAAUACCGCAUAAGCACACAGUACCGCAUGGUACAGGGUGAAAAGAUUUAUCGCCAUAAGAUGGACCCGCGUCUGAUUAGCCAGUUGGCAGGGUAAAAGCCUACCAAAGCAACGAUCAGUAGCCGAUCUGAGAGGAUGACCGGCCACAUUGGGACUGAGACACGGCCCAAACUCCUACGGGAGGCAGCAGUGGGGAAUAUUGCACAAUGGGGGAAACCCUGAUGCAGCGACGCCGCGUGAGUGAAGAAGUAUUUCGGUAUGUAAAGCUCUAUCAGCAGGGAAGAAAAUGACGGUACCUGACUAAGAAGCCCCGGCUAACUACGUGCCAGCAGCCGCGGUAAUACGUAGGGGGCAAGCGUUAUCCGGAUUUACUGGGUGUAAAGGGAGCGUAGACGGAAUGGCAAGUCUGAAGUGAAAUACCCGGGCUCAACCUGGGAACUGCUUUGGAAACUGUUGUUCUAGAGUGUUGGAGAGGUAAGUGGAAUUCCUGGUGUAGCGGUGAAAUGCGUAGAUAUCAGGAAGAACACCGGAGGCGAAGGCGGCUUACUGGACAAUAACUGACGUUGAGGCUCGAAAGCGUGGGGAUCAAACAGGAUUAGAUACCCUGGUAGUCCACGCUGUAAACGAUGAAUACUAGGUGUCGGGGAGCAAAGCUUCUCGGUGCCGUCGCAAACGCAAUAAGUAUUCCACCUGGGGAGUACGUUCGCAAGAAUGAAACUCAAAGGAAUUGACGGGGACCCGCACAAGCGGUGGAGCAUGUGGUUUAA